rnacentral:lncRNA from 1 species
GGAAGAUGAUGUCGCAAGGGUGGCCGAGAAGCAGCUGGGCUGAGCUGCUAAAAGCACAGAGACCGGGGCCAGACUCCUCAGCCUGAAAUCCUGCUUCCACUAAGUACCAGCUGGGUAACUUCAGGUGGCUUCUUCUUGGAUAUCUGAAUGGUGGUGAGAUCAACCUCUGGGCCAGCCAAGUAUGGAACUCAAUCCAAAACAACGGACUUCUUUUGUUUCGUGUCAGUUCAGCUUCCUACAAACAAAAUUAAAGCAGCAUUGGUUUAGUAAUUGGAAAUGCAUAUCAAAGAAAAGAAGCUUAACUCAAAACAGAUUUUCCUAACCAUCUUCAAUGUACAUGUGUAGGAGAAAUGCAUUCUUUAUUUGUAGCAGUGCAAAUGUCAGUGAUUACAAACAUGUGUGUGACUGUUUGCCAGCAAUUUGUUCUUGCCCUUGGAUGAUCAGACCCUUACGGAAUCUAGGCAGACUGUGGAACUUCCAUUGGCUUCCACUGGCUUUGGUGUGAAAUAUAGAGAUAUGAGUAGUGGUGACAAGAGGGGACACGGGAAAGGCCCGUGGGAAUAGGCCUUUGAGGGGAAGCACGCUGAUCUCUUGUUCUGCAGCGCAUGCUUGGGAUGGUAUGCGCAUGCCUUCUCUCACUAAGACUAGGACUGCUUACAGAAUGCGAAUAUAAGUAUCCUUAUUUGGGAGAAAAGUACAUUUUCAAGGGCUGGUAAAAUGACGUGGAGGAAGGGAGGAUCCAGGGAGCCUUCUGAAGAGUAUUGUCAGGAUGUCUCUUCUCUUUCAGCCACCUGGAUAUGUUUCACAUUUUGUUUCCCAAACAAGGACUAGAUUGGAUCCCAGAAGGGAAUGGUUUCCUUAGUAUACAUUCCGAAUUCCUUUGUAAGGGAAAAAUCCACUUCAUCUGGUCUAAGAAUACGUAAGAACAAAUGAAAAUGUUGUGGCUGGAGAUGUUCCUGAGUUAAUAUCAGGAUGUUUGCCUGCUGGUUUCUGUUUUACCAAACAAAACAUAGCUGCCAAUUCAUCCAUCUGUAAAAGUGCUCCUUGUGGACCCCCUCAAGAGAAGUACUGGUUAUUUUAUUUGCAGAAAACGUUUUAUUGGGAGUUGUUUACUUUCUGUGACUGAAGUGGGGAACAUGAGGGUCCCUUUACGGAGCCCUCAUAUUCCAUGUGUACUCUGUAUUUUAUUGAGGCUGUUUCCCAGUCAGAACAGCGUCUCUCUUUGUUUGUCAUUCCAAAUCUUUCAGUGUCUUUAGAGCUCUGAGGGCCCUGGAGAGCCUCACCCAACCUCUCAUCCUUCCAUGGCUGUCCCCACCUCUGUGCACUUAUGAGUCAAUGUUGCCGCACUUCAUUACAUGCUGUUCAUAUUACAGCAUUAUAAGAUUUUUUCUUUUAAAAGCCUAUCUUCUUCAAUCGGGUAGUAAGACCAUUGUGGGUUGAGGCAUGUUUCAUACUUCCCACAUAAUCACUCCAGACUUAAAACAGAACCGGAAAUACAUGAAAUAAAAAAUUAUUUUUCUGUUCUCAAAUAAAAAUUAUUGUUCUGUUCUCUACAAAUCUCCAAGUGCAUAAUGCAGCAAAUAUGCAGGUUAUUCUGAUAUUCUACACUAUUAUUUGAUGAAAAAGAAGAUUUUUAAAUAUGCAGUAAUAGGGAAAAUCCUGUGGUCAUUUAAUGAUUCUGGUAAGUCAAGGAGAAAAAGGUAUAAUUAAUGAGUAAAACCAAAGUGCACAAACUAUGUAACCAGGAAGAGAAAUUGAAAAUUGAAUAACAGAGACUUAGAUGGUGGGGGAUGCAAUUGUCUGGGAGGGGAAUUUUUAAAGCAACUUCUUUGGAUUUUAUAAAAGUUAUAAGCUUCAAGAAAGAGGAUCCAUCUCCCAUUUUUUUUAAAACAAUUCAGCACUUGAUUUAAAACAUUUGAAGGAUAACUAAAUAAAUGUAAAAAAAAAGAGACUAAAUUCUAAAUUGUAAGGGCGGGUUUAAUCAGAAAACACAGUCUUCAAGAAGAGAAUUUCUUAUGGCUGCAUAGUAUUCCAUGGUGUAUAUGUGCCACAUUUUCUUAAUCCAGUCUAUCAUUGUUGGACAUUUGGGUUGGUUCCAAGUCCUUGCUAUUGUGAAUAGUGCUGCAAUAAACAUAUGUGUGCAUGUGUCUUUAUAGCAGCAUGAUUUAUAGUCCUU